rnacentral:rRNA from 1 species
UUAUCCGGAAUUAUUGGGCGUAAGAGCUCGUAGGCGGUUUGUCGCGUCUGCUGUGAAAUCCCGAGGCUCAACCUCGGGCCUGCAGUGGGUACGGGCAGACUAGAGUGCGGUAGGGGAGAUUGGAAUUCCUGGUGUAGCGGUGGAAUGCGCAGAUAUCAGGAGGAACACCGAUGGCGAAGGCAGAUCUCUGGGCCGUAACUGACGCUGAGGAGCGAAAGGGUGGGGAGCAAACAGGCUUAGAUACCCUGGUAGUCCACCCCGUAAACGUUGGGAACUAGUUGUGGGGUCCUUUCCACGGAUUCCGUGACGCAGCUAACGCAUUAAGUUCCCCGCCUGGGGAGUACGGCCGCAAGGCUAAAACUCAAAGGAAUUGACGGGGACCCGCACAAGCGGCGGAGCAUGCGGAUUAAUUCGAUGCAACGCGAAGAACCUUACCAAGGCUUGACAUACACCGGAACGCCCUAGAAAUAGGGAACUCUUUGGACACUGGUGUACAGGUGGUGCAUGGUUGUCGUCAGCUCGUGUCGUGAGAUGUUGGGUUAAGUCCCGCAACGAGCGCAACCCUCGUUCUAUGUUGCCAGCACGUAAUGGUGGGAACUCAUGGGAUACUGCCGGGGUCAACUCGGAGGAAGGUGGGGAUGACGUCAAAUCAUCAUGCCCCUUAUGUCUUGGGCUUCACGCAUGCUACAAUGGCCGGUACAAAGGGCUGCAAUACCGUGAGGUGGAGCGAAUCCCAAAAAGCCGGUCCCAGUUCGGAUUGAGGUCUGCAACUCGACCUCAUGAAGUCGGAGUCGCUAGUAAUCGCAGAUCAGCAACGCUGCGGUGAAUACGUUCCCGGGUCUUGUACACACCGCCCGUCAAGUCAUGAAAGUCGGUAACACCUGAAGCCGGUGGCCCAACCCUUGUGGAGGGAGCCGUCGAAGGUGGGAUCGGUAAUAGG